GAUGAACGCUGGCGGCGUGCCUAAUACAUGCAAGUCGAGCGAAUGGAUUAAGAGCUUGCUCUUAUGAAGUUAGCGGCGGACGGGUGAGUAACACGUGGGUAACCUGCCCAUAAGACUGGGAUAACUCCGGGAAACCGGGGCUAAUACCGGAUAACAUUUUGAACCGCAUGGUUCGGAAUUGAAUGGCGGCUUCGGCUGUCACUUAUGGAUGGACCCGCGUCGCAUUAGCUAGUUGGUGAGGUAACGGCUCACCAAGGCAACGAUGCGUAGCCGACCUGAGAGGGUGAUCGGCCACACGGGGACUGAGACACGGCCCAGACUCCUACGGGAGGCAGCAGUAGGGAAUCUUCCGCAAUGGACGAAAGUCUGACGGAGCAACGCCGCGUGAGUGAUGAAGGCUUUCGGGUCGUAAAACUCUGUUGUUAGGGAAGAACAAGUGCUAGUUGAAUAAGCUGGCACCUUGACGGUACCUAACCAGAAAGCCACGGCUAACUACGUGCCAGCAGCCGCCGCAG
rnacentral:rRNA from 1 species